rnacentral:rRNA from 1 species
GACGAACGCUGGCGGCAUGCCUAAUACAUGCAAGUCGAACGCGUGGCGCACGGGUGAGUAACACGUGGGGAAUCUGCCUAGGAGUGGGGGAUAACCUUCGGAAACGGAUGCUAAUACCGCAUACUCUUAGAUGCUCCCGCGGCGUAUUAGUUAGUUGGUGGGGUAAAGGCCUACCAAGACAAUGAUACGUAGCCGACCUGAGAGGGUGAUCGGCCACACUGGGACUGAGACACGGUCCAGACUCCUACGGGAGGCAGCAGUAGGGAAUCUGCCACAAUGGGUGCAAACCUGAUGGAGCAAUGCCGCGUGAACGAAGAAGGUCUUCGGAUCGUAAAGUUCUGUUAUUAGGGAAGCGGUAACUAACCAGAAAGUAACGGCUAACUACGUGCCAGCAGCCGCGGUAAUUC